rnacentral:lncRNA from 1 species
AAAAUAUGAGACCAAUUUCAUUUUUCUCCUUUUAAUUUCUAGUUUCUAAAAAUGAUUUUUAAUAUUUUUUAUUUUAUCAUUUGAUAUUUUUUAGUAAUUUUCUCUUUUAUGGUUAUUUUUAAUUCAUUUAAAAUAGUUUUUGAUAUCCAAAAAAUACAAAAAUAUUUUCCCAACCUCUUUGAAUGAUGAUAGAUCUAUGAAAAAUAUUCUCAUCAAUUUAUUAAUUGAUUUGAGAUUUAUUUGAGAUUUUAAUUCAAUCAGGUUAUUUUUAUGCAUUUCUAAAAAUG